GAACGCGAAGAACCUUACCUGGCCUUGACAUAGUAGAGACUUUCCAGAGAUGGAUAGGUGCCUUCGGGAAUCUACAUACAGGUGCUGCAUGGCUGUCGUCAGCUCGUGUCGUGAGAUGUUGGGUUAAGUCCCGCAACGAGCGCAACCCUUUUCCUUAGUUGCUAACGGGUAAGCCGAGCUCUCUAGGGAGACUGCCCGCGAAAGCGGGAGGAAGGCGGGGAUGACGUCUAGUCCGCAUGGCCCUUACGGCCUGGGCGACACACGUGCUACAAUGCCCGGCACAGAGCGCUGCCACAUCGCAAGAUGGAGCGAAUCGCUAAAUCCGGGCUCAGUUCGGAUUGGGGUCUGCAACCCGACCCCAUGAAGCUGGAAUCGCUAGUAAUCGCGGAUCAGCCAUGCCGCGGUGAAUACGUUCCCGGGUCUUGUACACACC
rnacentral:rRNA from 1 species